CCUACGGGGGGCAGCAGUGGGGAAUAUUGCACAAUGGGCGAAAGCCUGAUGCAGCAACGCCGCGUGAACGAUGAAGGUCUUCGGAUCGUAAAGUUCUGUUGCAGGGGAAGAUAAUGACGGUACCCUGUGAGGAAGCCCCGGCUAACUACGUGCCAGCAGCCGCGGUAAUACGUAGGGGGCUAGCGUUAUCCGGAUUUACUGGGCGUAAAGGGUGCGUAGGUGGUCCUUCAAGUCGGUGGUUAAAGGCUACGGCUCAACCGUAGUAAGCCGCCGAAACUGGAGGACUUGAGUGCAGGAGAGGAAAGUGGAAUUCCCAGUGUAGCGGUGAAAUGCGUAGAUAUUGGGAGGAACACCAGUAGCGAAGGCGGCUUUCUGGACUGCAACUGACACUGAGGCACGAAAGCGUGGGUAGCAAACAGGAUUAGAUACCCGAGUAGUC
rnacentral:rRNA from 1 species